GAGAGAGAGAGAGAGAGAGGCAACGAAGAAGCUGUAGCAGUUGUCCCACCAUCCAAUCAUAUGGAUUGACAAAAUAUAUUUUGUGAUGAAAACGAUAAAAUGGGGAAACAGAACUAAGUUCUAAAAAAAUAGAAAGAAAAAGGGAACAAUCUAUUAAAUUACAGAAAGGCAAUUGAUUCGAACAAGGUUCUCUGUUUUUACACAAAAAUCCUCAGGUAAAAAGAGAGAUUAACAGUUGAUAUUACCUG
rnacentral:misc_RNA from 1 species